UCAAAGGCUUUAUUAAAAGCCUCCUAAUUUCUUAUUCUAUUCUCGU
rfam:Myotis davidii contig164856, whole genome shotgun sequence.